AUUAGAGCUUGGGGACAGUCUGAAGAUCUUGAAUAUCUGCCGGUCUUUCACCAAGCAUAUGUAAGUUUGCAGGGAAGAAGUGUGCUUCGGUCAGUAGAAGAUGGGAAUUCAUCCCCCACGUCUUAUUCCCUGGAAUCAUAUGUCCAUCAGCAGCCGCUAUCUCCUCCUGAAAGAUAUCCUAUUCCUGGCACCGGAUUUGAUGAUGAAAACCAUACUACUUUUGGAUAUAAUGGCAGGGCCCUAUCAGUUGAAGAAAAGAAUGAAUUUUUCGUAACAACUCGGAACAGCCUUGAACUUCUCUCUAGCAUUUUGAAUGCUGAAACUGAACCAAAACCCAUUAGGGAGGAUCUGACAGUGAGCUUAUUGGAGAAGUGCAAGCAAUCACAGGUUGUCAUACAGAGGAUCAUAGAAAGCACCACUGACGAUGAGGCUAUGCUAUUUGAGGCACUUAAUCUCAACGAUGAGCUUCAACUGGUCAUCUCCCAAUAUGAGUUGCUGGAAGCUGGUCUAAACACUGGAGAGCAGGUGCCUGGGGGUUCUGAUAACACUAAGGAUGAUUUGCCUGCUCAGGUUGGACAUAAUAAUAAUGAAACCGAUAUAACAGAUUCCACAAAGGGAGAGAAUGCUAAUGAAUCUAGCAGCAAUAAGACAAAUGCAGAAUGAAAAGCCAGGAUUUGGAAGGUUUUAUGCAGGUUUUCUCAUACCUCUUUUUAGUCCCUGUCUCCUUUCAUAUUGAUUGUUUUCCCCUUAUUACUGAUAUCUUAAUAGCUAAUAACAGAGCUGUUGUAAUUAGUCAUGAGCCUUUCUGACUAUGGUUACUGUGCUUGUCUCCUUUUAGCCUAUUAGCAAAUGAGCCUCCUCAUUGCCUUCAGAGGACUUCGAGUCUGUUAUAGUAUGUAGUUGCAGUUGUUCUUGUUGGUUUUUGCAUGGCACUCAGCUAUUACACGGCUAUGCAAUUAUUUC
rnacentral:misc_RNA from 1 species